UCCCUCUCAUAGUUUCAUAGAUUUUAAGAUGAAAAGGGAACCAUUAUGAUCAUCUAGUCUGACCUCCUGAAUGGCACAGACCAUUGAACCUCACACAGUGACUCCUGCAUCAAGCCCAUGACUGCUGUUUGAGCUAUAGUGUAUCUCUUUGAAACACAUCCAGUCUAGAUGUAAAGAGUUCAAGUGAUCCUCUUCUCCUUAACUUUGUCCUCAUGGGUUUCUGCUUCCAAACUACCUAACUGGGUGGGAAGUGGAGUCAGUCUAUAUGUAUAUGCUAGGCCUUUCACCAAUAUUGUGUUUUUUGCUUCCAGUAGAUGAUGCUAUAAUAACUAGCUAUUCUGAUAACUGCAACAAGACUGGAGAACAGGAAUUACUCUGUCAACAAAUGGAGGCACUGAUGGCGGUUCCAUCCUCCCUUCCAGUGACAUGCUCAGUAAACAUGACUUAAAGACGACAGGAUCUCAGUGGAGGACUGACUUUCCUAUCCAUUUGCCAGGGGUUGGAAACAGCUACUGUGUGUCCACAUUCCAUCUCAACACUUCUCUGAAGCUACUAUUUUGUUCUGCAGAAUCUCAGGUUUCAUUGUUUUAAAUCUCUAAGUUUUAUGAUUGUGAAGGAAGUCUCAAAAAUAUGAACUGAUCAUAACUGAUGCAGAAAUGAAUCUGUAGAGAGCCUAGAACAAUACUUCUAAGAAAUGUGAAUUGUCCCACUCAGCUCAAUGAGGUGUU
rnacentral:lncRNA from 1 species